GGUGAAAGCGACAGUCGUAUGAGUUAGUUCCUACAUGAAGCUGCUCACGACAAGAAACAUGGAGGUGCAACAUGGCGGUCUCCGUGGAAGGGGACCCGCUCCCUCUGCAGGUUGGCUGAUUGUUCAAGGACAGAAGAAGACAGUUUGUGGUGGUGGUCAGAGCGAUUAACUUACUCGGAAAGAGAAGGAAUCUGGGACAAAGCUGUUUUUCCAGAGUGAGACAGAAAAGAGAAAAUGUCAAGAACUUGAUCCAGAUCUCCGUAUGCAGAAUUAGGCUUGGCGAGUACAGCAGGGUUUAUUUUCUCUUUUGGCCAUCAGAAACUUUGGCCAGUGAGCCUGCCAGAGGAUGUUGAGCCCAGCUGUUGGACUUCAUCACUGCCUGGUGUCUGUGGUGUCCACUCAGAAUCCCAUCUAUGACCAGAGUUCUUUAGUCAGUCAAUAUUAGAGUCCCCAUCUUUAGAUGGGUCAAAGACGAAAAAGGGUUAUCUAGCAUCCAAAAAUUAA